GCGCCUGUAGCUCAACUGGAUAGAGCGCUUGGCUACGGACCAGGAGGUUCUGGGUUCAAAUCCUAGCAGGCGCACCA
rnacentral:tRNA from 11 species